rfam:Helianthus annuus linkage group 4, whole genome shotgun sequence.
UCGUGGAAUGAUGUAUUAUUAUCGAGCCCUUAAAAUUCUCGCGUAUCUUGAUACUGCUUCUGAGAUGGAAAUGCAG